rnacentral:rRNA from 1 species
GACGAACGCUGGCGGCGUGCCUAAUACAUGCAAGUCGAACGCAGUGGGGACGGGUGAGUAACACGUGGGUAACCUCCCAUCAGAGGGGAUAACACUUGGAAACAGGUGCCAAAACCGAUACUGAUGGAGGGAACCGCGGUGCAGUAGCUAGUUGGUGAGGUAAGGGCUCACCAAGGCCCCGAUGCAUAGCCUACCUGAGCGGAUGAUCAGCCACACUGGAACUGAGACGCGGCCCGGACUCCUACGGGAGGCAGCAGUAGGGAAUCUUCGGCAAUUGACGGAAGUCUGACCGAGCAACGCCGCGUGAGUGAAGAAGGUUUUCGGAUCGUAGAACUCUGUUGUUGGAGAAGCGGUAUCUAACCAGAAAGCCACGGCUAACUACGUGCCAGCAGCCGCGGUAAUAC